AUUGGCAUCUUCUGGCUAUACCAGCUGAGUCAGGGCUUUCUAUUUCGUAGGAGCCACACAACAUUAGCCUGUUAUAAGGCUUCCUCGAGGAGUACAGGAAAGUGAGCAAGGGGAAGACCCUGACAGAAGGAACACCAGUUGGGGGGCAGCUCUUUCUCCUGGAGGUGUCCACCCUCAGAGUGGAGAAGACCUGGUUCCAGUGAAGACAUGAAGUGAAGGGAAGUGAAGAAAAGGGAAGUAAGUGACAACAACCCAAAGAACUGAAGAGUUUGCUUCACGUACCUACAGAGUCAUCUUACUGUUCACUGGUCCCGCACCUCUGACUAGAAUGUAAUCUAGAAUGUAAACUAGAAUCCAA
rnacentral:lncRNA from 1 species